CGCGCCGUGCUUGGAGAGUGA
rnacentral:siRNA from 1 species